AGUGCGAUAGCUGGGUCAAAUGGUGGUUCCAUUCCAAAUUUUCUAAGAAAUCUCUAUACUGUUUUCCAGAUUGAUUGUACCAAUUUGCAGUCCCUCCAGCAAU
rnacentral:pre_miRNA from 1 species